UGGCGAACGGGUGAGUAACACGUGGGUGAUCUGCCCUGCACUCUGGGAUAAGCCUGGGAAACUGGGUCUAAUACCGGAUAGGACCAUGCUUUAGUGUGUGUGGUGGAAAGUUUUUUCUGUGUAGGAUGAGCCCGCGGCCUAUCAGCUUGUUGGUGGGGUAAUGGCCUACCAAGGCGGCGACGGGUAGCCGGACUGAGAGGUUGGUCGGCCACAUUGGGACUGAGAUACGGCCCAG
rnacentral:rRNA from 1 species